CUAACAAGGAUUCCCCUAGNAACUGCGAGUGAAGCGGGAAGAGCUCAAAUUUAAAAUCUGGCGUCCUCUGG
rnacentral:rRNA from 1 species